UACGUAGGGCGCAAGCGUUGUCCGGAAUUAUUGGGCGUAAAGAGCUCGUAGGCGGUUUGUCGCGUCUGCUGUGAAAGCCCGGGCUCAACCCCGGGUCUGCAGUGGGUACGGGCAGACUAGAGUGCAGUAGGGGAGAUGGAAUUCCGUGGUGUAGCGGUGAAAUGCGCAGAUAAUCAGGAGGAACACCGAUGGCGAAGGCAGGUCUCUGGGCUGAUUACUGACGCUGGAGGAGCGAAAGCAUGGGGAGCGAACAGGAAUUAGAUACCCCGGAGUC
rnacentral:rRNA from 1 species